CAGCAGCCGCGGGAAUACGUAGGGUGCAAGCGUUAAUCGGAAUUACUGGGCGUAAAGCGUGCGCAUGCGGUUAUAUAAGUCAGAUGUGAAAUCCCCGGGCUCAACCUGGGAACUGCAUUUGAGACUGUAUGGCUAGAGUGUGUCAGAGGGGGGUAGAAUUCCACGUGUAGCAGUGAAAUGCGUAGAUAUGUGGAGGAAUACCGAUGGCGAAGGCAGCCCCCUGGGAUAACACUGACGCUCAUGCACGAAAGCGUGGGGAGCAAACAGGAUUAGAUACCCCGGUAGUCCCUGUCUCUUAUAC
rnacentral:rRNA from 1 species